GCCUGCCUGGCUCAGUCAGUACAGCAUGAGACUCUUGAUCUCAAGGCUGUAAGUUUGAGCCCCACGUUGGGUG
rnacentral:tRNA from 1 species